GCCGGGUAUGGUGGCGCAUCCCUGUAAUCCCAGCAGCUUGAGAGGCUGAGGCAGGAGGAUGACAAGUUCAAAGCCAGCCUCAGCAACUUAGUGAGAAAGAUUUGAAUAAGACCCUGUCUCAA
rnacentral:sRNA from 1 species